rnacentral:sRNA from 1 species
GGUCAUAGAGAAAAAGAUAGAGAUAGGGAGCGAUGUAGAUGCAAAGAGUGUGAUAGGGAAAAAGGUCGAGAAAAGGAGAGAUGUAGAUGUAAAGAGUGUGACAGAGACAAACAUCGAGAUAAGGAGAGAGACAUAGGUAGAGAGAGAUAUAAAGAUAGAAUUAGGAACAGAGAUAGGGAUAGAGUUAAAGAUAAGGAUAGAGAAAAGGAUAGAAAGAAUGAGCGGGAUCGCAAUCGAAUCUCUCGUGACAUCCAUCAUACGAUCAAGAAUCGCAGGGCCUUCUCCUACGACUCGAAAAGGUUUCCGAAACCUUUGGGUGACCACCAAGUGAAGAUGCACACCGAGCGCCGACGGCAUCCGUUGCCGGAUGGGAAGAGGGAUUUCUACCCUUAGACGUCCUAUAAUUAAUUAUUACUUUGUUCCAAUGGUUGUAUGUGGCUGCAUAUUUGCCUUUGACAUGACUUAGCCCGUUUACCCGCCACCUUCAAUCUCCUUUCUUUGCGAAAUCAAUGGCUCGCGUAAUUGGCACCCAAGUUGGAAGCCAGCUGGAAACUUUGCAAACAACCGGCGCGCCAAUAACUUUGUGUAUGUGCGAAUUAAUGUAAGGAGAAACUGAUACCUGUUACACAAUUUACAUCCAUAAUGCAGCCUAGUUGAAAAAUCUGUGAAUAGCUUAUAUUAAAUUGUGUGAAAUUGCAUAUUGUUUUAUGCUUAAACUUUCAAUAAAUUCAAGAAGUAAA